rnacentral:RNase_P_RNA from 1 species
AGACCGGUCUGUCGCUCAGGUCGUUGAGGCCUGUGAGGAAAGUCCGGGCAACCCGAGGCGCCCCGCUUCUUAACGGGAAGCAGGCCGUGAGGCUUGAUCAGUGCAGAAGAAAACAACCGCCUGCCGCAACUACACACCCAGCAUGCAAAUGCCGGAAAAAGUGCGCACACUACAUGCGCGUGUGGCGACAGGUAAGGGUGAGAAGGUGGGGUAAGAGCCCACCGGUCGGGCGGUGACGUCCGAGCCGUGCACAUCGGGGGUUGAAAGUUCGCGUAUACCGGCGUUUGAGGGCUGCCUCGCCCGAGCGUGGCACGCCGGAGGGUAGAACGAUAGAGCUUGUCGGUGACGGCAAGUCCGGAUAAAUGACAGACAAGACGGCUCCGCGCCGCCUACAGAACCCGGCUUACAGGCCCUCUGC